rnacentral:rRNA from 1 species
UACAGAGGUCUCAAGCGUUGUUCGGAUUCAUUGGGCGUAAAGGGUGCGCAGGCGGCCGGGUGUGUGAGGCGUGAAAGCCCGAUGCUUAACAUCGGAAUUGCACCUCAAACUACACGGCUAGAGCAUUGGAGAGGGUAGCGGAAUUCACGGUGUAGCAGUGAAAUGCGUAGAUAUCGUGAGGAACACCAGAGGCGAAGGCGGCUACCUGGACAAUUGCUGACGCUCAGGCACGAAAGCUAGGGGAGCAAACGGG